GUGAGGUCAGAUUUCUAUACCUAGGAAAGAGUCAAGGCUUCAGCACAGUAGAAACCCUUCAACAGAAAUCAAUAUUUUUCCUGCUGAGAGGAGCC
rnacentral:lncRNA from 1 species